rnacentral:misc_RNA from 1 species
GUAGGUGAACCUGCGGAAGGAUCAUUAAAAUCGGGGGCUCGACGCUCUGCCCGUGGCUCACGCCGCCGGUGGAGUGCGCCUGCCUGAAACUCUUGUUUAUAUCUCCAAGUUGCUUUGGCGGGUCGUCUUUGGACCGCCGGGGGCCUUUCCCCUAGCGUGUGCCCGUCAAAAGCCCCGAUGAAUUCGUUCAACCUGUCGUCUUAAGUGUCAAACAAAUAACUAUAAAACUUUCAACAACGGAUCUCUUGGU